UACGUAGGGUGCAAGCGUUAAUCGGAAUUACUGGGCGUAAAGCGUGCGCAGGCGGUUCGCUAAGACAGAUGUGAAAAUCCCCGGGCUUUAACCUGGGAACUGCAUUUGUGACUGGCGGGCUAGAGUAUGGCAGAGGGGGGUAGAAUUCCACGUGUAGCAGUGAAAUGCGUAGAUAUGCGGAGGAACACCGAUGGCGAAGGCAAUCCCCCUGGACCUGUACUGACGCUCAUGCACGAAAGCGUGGGGAG
rnacentral:rRNA from 1 species